UCAGGAUGAACGCUGGCGGCGUGCCUAACACAUGCAAGUCGAACGGAGUAAGAAUUCGAUUUUACUUAGUGGCGAACGGGUGAGUAACGCGUGAACAACCUGCCUUCAUGAGGGGGGAUAACACCUGGAAACAAGUGCUAAUACCGCAUAAGACCACAGGAUCGCAUGAUCGAGGGGUCAAAGGAGUAAUCCGCAUGAAGAGGGGUUCGCGUCCCAUUAGCUAGUUGGCGGGGCAACGGCCCACCAAGGCGACGAUGGGUAGCCGAGCUGAGAGGCUGAUCGGCCACACUGGAACUGAGACACGGUCCAGACUCCUACGGGAGGCAGCAGUGGGGAAUAUUGGGCAAUGGGCGCAAGCCUCGACCCAGCAACGCCGCGUGAGGGAAGAAGGUCUUCGGAUUGUAAACCUCUGUCCUAUGUGACGAAGGAAGUGACGGUAGCAUAGGAGGAAGCCCCGGCUAACUACGUGCCAGCCGCCGC
rnacentral:rRNA from 1 species